CGGGAUGCUGCAGCAGUGAGGAAUAUUGCACAAUGGGGGGAACCCUGAUGCGGCAACGCCGCGUGGAGGAUGACGCAUUUCGGUGUGUAAACUCCUUUUAUAUGUCAAGAAAAUGACGGUAGCAUAUGAAUAAGCACCGGCUAACUCCGUGCCAGCAGCCGCGGUAAUACGGAGGGUGCAAGCGUUACUCGGAAUCACUGGGCGUAAAGGACGCGUAGGCGGGUUGGAAAGUCAGGUGUGAAAUCCUACAGCUUAACUGUAGAACUGCACUUGAAACUUCUAAUCUAGAGUAUGGGAGGGGGAGAUGGAAUUAGUGGUGUAGGGGUAAAAUCCGUAGAUAUCACUAGGAAUACCUAAAGCGAAGGCGAUCUCCUGGAACAUUACUGACGCUAAGGCGUGAAAGCGUGGGGAGCAAACAGGAUUAGAUACCCCCGUAGUC
rnacentral:rRNA from 1 species